rnacentral:rRNA from 1 species
UACGGAGGGGGCUAGCGUUGUUCGGAAUUACUGGGCGUAAAGGGCGCGUAGGUGGCCUGAUAAGUAGGAGGUGAAAUCCUGGGGCUUAACCUCAGGGCUGCCUUCUAGACUGUCCGCUCGAGCACAGUAGAGGCAGGUGGGAAUUCCCGGUGUAGCGGUGGAAUGCGUAGGAGAUCGGGAAGAACAUCGGUGGCGAAGGCGGCCUGCUGGGGCCUGGUUGCUGGACACUGAGGCG